rnacentral:rRNA from 1 species
GUCGGGAAUAUUGCACAAUGGGCGAAAGCCUGAUGCAGCAACGCCGCGUGCGCGAUGAAGGCCUUCGGGUCGUAAAGCGCUUUUCGGGAGGAUGAGGAAGGACAGUACUCCCGGAAUAAGUCACGGCUAACUACGUGCCAGCAGCCGCGGUAAAACGUAGGUGGCGAGCGUUAUCCGGAUUUACUGGGCGUAAAGCGCGUUCAGGCGGCUUGGCAAGUCGGGCAUGAAAUCUCUCGGCUCAACCGGGAGAGGCUGUCCGAUACUGCUGGGCUUGAGGGCAGUAGAGGAUGGUGGAAUUCCGGGUGUAGUGGUAAAAUGCGUAGAUAUCCGGAGGAACACCAGUGGCGAAGGCGGCCAUCUGGGCUGCACCUGACGCUCAAGCGCGAAAGCUAGGGGAGCGAACGGGAUUAGAAACCCCGGUAGUCC